GGGGGGGGGGGGAGGGGGGAGGCCCCUAUCAUGCUCCUUGGCAGACCCGGAAAUGGAACAGGAGAACUUCUGGUCCACUUCUGGUUUUGCCACCAAGCACAUGAAGGGCGCGCGGCCCCCCCGCACUCCUGUGGGACGCUCCAUUUGCCCCAGCAUCAAUCUUCUUGAGCUGAAGAAGGAAUUUUAACUUGUUUCCCACUUUCCAGCCAAGUAUUCUCUCCACUUGGCUGCUAGGUGACAGAAGUGAACAUCACCACCUAAAUUUUAAAAGAAAGACAGCAAACCUUGCUUUCUUCUUUGAAAGAACAAUUGUAGGUUUCUACUUGUAGGUGAGAACUCCGUUCUGGAUCCGGAGUGGACAGAGCCUGCCCGCAGCCCUGUUCCGAUGGGAGUACAGACACAAUCCUGCACUUAACUUCUUAUUUACUGAUCCUAGGCAGCUUUCUGUCAGCAUGUAAGCUGUAUGGCGUACCCUUCUAAAGUACCUUUGGAUUUUAUGGGCAGUCCAGGUGCCUGACUCCGGGGUUUGGAAUCCCCUCUGGAGGUCAGAUGCUUAAAAGUUAGAUGUUGCAGCCCCUGUGUUUGGGAUGGGCUGGGGUGGGUUGUGUUUCUUGUUUUCUUCAGCACAAUCAUGUUUCCCAGUUAAUUCUUAUCAGUUUUUUAUAUUUAAAGAAAAUAUUUGUACAGGACUAGGUUAAGUGUUACCUCAAAAUACUGUAGUCAGUUCUGUAAGCCUACCAAGGCCAGUGUUCAGCCAAACCUCACUAGCAGGGACAGGUGAUAAGGUGUGCAGAUGUAUUGGAUCUUUGCAAGGAGUAAUUGUAUUUGGAAAGCACUUAGCAAGUUUUGGGUGCUACCACAGUGUGCAUAAUUAUAUUAAAAUGUAAGGCUUAAGACAGUUUGCCAGCCUCCAGAGAGGUCUGUGGUUAUACCAGAUUAUCUGGAGGAUGUUGGGUUUUAAUGCUGUCUUUGGUAUUACAUUUUUAUUGGUAUCUGCAACUUGUGAUAAUACUUUAUUCAUCACGUUUUCAUUUAAUUCAGUUUUGUAGGUCAAAAUAAGAAUUGUAGGCUAAAUAAAAUUUGGCGAGCUAUUCAGAUAGGGAAGUUAGCAGGCAGUUGGAGAAGUUACCCUGUAGAGGGCAUGAGAACACAGAGCUCUCACUUGCACAGCAAACUUAGAUUGUGACUGUCCGCAUAAUCCCACUUUUGUGUUUCUUUGGCAUCACAAGCUGGUCAAAUUCCUCUGAAGGAUAUUUUAUGCUCAAGGCCAUAUUAAAAGAGCUUGGCCUGUUUUACAUUAAUAUAAUCACAGUUGAGAGAGAAUGCGAUUAUUCGUUGUAAGUACGUUUAGGGGCAAGGUAAAAACAGGCAGAAGAGCUGUUUAGCUUAAAAGACAAUGUUAGUAUGGGAUCAGAUUGAGUAACAACUAAUCACAAAUACACUUGGAUUAGUUUAUUGAAGGUGUCUAACUAUUAUAUAAGUGAAGUUCUGGAAUAUUUAUCUAAAUAAAGUUUUUUAAAUGGCUUCAGGAUGGAGCUUGAUAACGUCUGUGAAAGGGAUUGAAUAUGGGUUUUUUGUUUUGGGGUUUGUUUGUUUUUAAUUGAGUAAUAAUGAGAACACAUGACAUGAGACUACAAGUGUUUGGUAGCCCAUGAGGGACUGAAAGAAAAUAUUAUUCCAUUUUGUGGGUUGCUUGCUUGUAUUGGAGGUGUCUGGUGAGCCUAAGUUUCAUGACUUCUGCUGGUCACUUGAAGUGGCCAGAAAAAAUGUCCACCCCCUGUUUUUUAAUUCAUUCUUUGGCUUCUACAAUCUUCUGAAGGAUUCAUCUGUAGAUCCUGGUUAAAGGCAGGAGAUGUAGUUGAGUAAGCUGAUGCUCCCAGUUGUACCUCUGAAGUGCCACGUUGGUAGGUCUUGUUCAUGGUUAAACAGAUUUUCCAGAUUUGGGGUUAGGAAUGCAUGUUCUUCCAGGUCAGGUUGGCAAGGACCACUAGAAUUCUUCCUCCCCACCCCACUCCUUAAGCUCUAGGUCAUGGACCAGCAAUAAUAGCCAAAAUAGAUUGCAGUUGAAUUUGUGAAGACCCUAAUUCUGGUUUAAGUGAGAUUUUGGUCUUUCAGAACAAAUAAUGCUCAAUACUUUAACGAGGUUUUUAGUUGGGUCUACCUUUUCCUCUUGAGCAAUGUAGGAGGGACAGGGUCAUCAUGGUACCUUGGCACUACUUGUGACCUUCAGCCUGACUACUGUUAUUCUUUAAAAAUAAAAAUAAAAACUGAGUGAUUAUCUUACAUUACUUUUAAAUAGAAGUACAAAGGCUGUGAGGCUCUGCCUGUAAAUUGGAUGGCUAUUUUUCCAUGAUUCAGACUCUAAAUUUAUCCUUUGUGUGUGUACCUUAUGUUAAUCUAGUCUACUGACCAGCACAGCAUUGUAGGAAUAUAUCUUUAAAAUGUUCACUGCUGCAUUUGCUUUGCUUCUGCUUGGUUUAUUGCAGGCUUAUGUGUAGGUAAGUAUAGUGUCAUUGUCAGCAGGCCAUUUUAUUUGUGUCUGUCAAAUGUCACUAUCCUAGCUUCAUCUAUCCCCAUCUGCAAGUUGGAUUUGAGCUUGUAUCCCUUGGGAGGAGGAGAAGCACAGAAAAGUUUAUUGGAAACCAUAUAGAACACGAUUUAUGUUAAUCUCUAGAUAAAUAUAUUUUAAAGCAAUAUCUUCUGUGACCCUAGCAAUGUUCAUCCAGGAAAUCUGAUGCACUUUACAAUAAUUUGGCUGCUUAUUUUAUUUUCAAUUUAAUCUUAAAUGUGCCUUCACAACAGUAAAUUAGGUUAUGAUGAUCUUACAGGUUUUUAUACACUGUCUCAGUAUGUUUUUUUCAAUAUUUUCCUGUGUUGAUUCUUUUUCUUUUAACCUUAGCAUAAAAUGAAAGUUUAUAAACUUAUUUAGCUGUGUUCUUGCAGUUUUCAUAUGUCCUGUAAAAUUGUAUUGAUAGAAAGAGCUGAUGUAGUAUUUUUAGUUUAGAUUGCGUGAAUACUGCAUGCAUAAAGCAGGACUGUCUUGUCACUUUACAAGAAAUAAUGAUUCCCCUUCUUCCACCGGUGGUACACUCACUCCUGUUGUACUUUUGACAGUGUGCAUUUGUGUGAUUUUUACACUUUUCACUUUAAUUCCAGAUCUCGACUGUGAGGGAUUUGGGCAUUACAUUCCAGAUGGAGGGAUAUGUGAUCUAACUGACAAGCAUUUGACAUGACUGCUACUCAGGCUGCCUCUGCAAAUUGUAGACGGCCUCUCAAAAUGCAAAUGAACACUCAGUACAUGGACAUGGCGUGGCAGGGCUCUUGUGGAAUAGCUGUAUCUUGCUACUUUGGAUUACUAUUCUUUCUCUUGGAAUACAAUCAUUACAGGGUGAAAAGGUUAGUAUUACUGAAUUGCUACAAAAUGCAAAAAUGAAACGCAGCUAUUUUAUAGCCCUGGCAAAACUGGAUUUUCUGUUCUUUCCUCUCCUGGUUUUUAAAGUUGAGAAAUUCUCUCAUAACAAAUUUUGGGUAUCUACCAAAUCUGUAGAUAUUGCCUUUGUACUAUUCCCCUACAGCAGAGCUGUUCAACUUCAGUAGUGGGGUGGGGGGAGAGGACUGCACGCCAUGAAGACUAUAUGCUGUGAGGGCAGCCCCUGGGACCCUUGCCAUCACACAGCAUCAGCAGUGGUACUGAGGCAUCACCAUGUACCAGCUGCAUGUCCAGCCAAGAUAAUGCGUGCUUUUUCAUCUGAUUUCACUCUUCUUAGAAUUCAAGGUGAUGGUCAUGGAAGCUUCCCUUACGUGUGGCAGCCUGUAGACCUGAACAGGCCAGAUGAGCGCACCAUGCUGAUUCCUACUGCCUUAUUCCCUACUAUAAUGGACCCACAUCUGGCCAUGGUGCUUCAUCUCAUCUUUGAACCAAGAACAUAAUUUUUGGUCUAACUGCCUCGUAGAAACUUAUUUCAACAGCUGCAGUUCACAGAAGCAUUGAAGAUGACAGCUCACAGUGCAAGUUUAGAGGCAGUCUGUGUGGCCACAAGCCUUAUUUGUGGAACUUUGUCUGGAUGAGCCAGAAUCACCCUUCAUGGUGUGAUGCAAGACUGGCAUUUUGCAUGGAUAUUUCCCCAAACAUUCUAGAAUGAACACUUCCCCCAGAGUAAGAAGAAAGAAGCAUCUUGCAUUUGCAGUUGUAUCAAAUAGUGGUAUGAGAGUGUUAGAAUAAAAAUGUUUUAAACUGUCCCUAUAUAAUUAGAUUUCUUCUGUGGCAGAUGACACUUGAGAAGUCAAAAUAGUAAAAAUGAUUUUUUUUUUUUUUUUUAAGAUCUGCAUACGUGUGGAUCUAGAGAGGGUGUAGUGGUGUUGAAUGCUUUAGUGGGGCUUUUUUGGCACUUUUAUCUAAUAGCUGAUUGAAUCAACUUUAGGUAAAAGUGCCAAAAAGCCUUGCUGAAGCACCCAAUCUUUGCAGACAUUGCAGAGAGUGGUUGAAGUAACACUCCACUUUCAGUAAAGCAUGGGAGGGGUUGGGGUUUUCCUGUUUUUGUUUUUUAACGUCUGAAGCAGCCACAGUUAGCAGGAGAAAAUAAGCUGAUUACUGGGAGAUCAAGACCUAUCAAAAGAGCAAGGGUCAUUCUCACUUUCCUUGUACGGAAUUCAGGAGUUGGAUAAAUUAUAAUGUUCCAUAAACCCAAUAUCGGUGCUUAGUCCUUGGUUCUUAGUGUCCAGCCAGCUUACACAUUUUUGUUCCCAAGUUCACCUUAUAAAGGCGGUAGGUAGAUUUCCCUUGAACAGGAGGACAUUGAGGGCAGAAAGGGAGUGAUCAUUCUAUGAGAAAUGUGCUCAUAAUGGUAUGUGUGUCUGUCCUUUCACAUUUUUUUUUUUUCUGUGACUGUUUAUUGUGCUGUGUAAUUGCUGUUUAAUUUCACCCGCAUAGUUGUCAGGAGGGGACUUGUAUUGAAUUGGGUGUAUCACAUUUUGGCAAAGGCUUGUAUAGGAACCAUGGAUUUUGAUGUUUUUUUUAUCGGGGUGUUGAUAGUAAUGGCAGUGGAGAUAUGCCAACAAGGCAGGCACGUCUUGCCAAGACAAGGCUGUGUCCCACUUGAUGUCUGGUGGGCAUUGGAGAAUUUGCUUUUGAUCAUGAGUUGAACAAGGUUAGGGGGCUGUUUGAAAACCAGGAGCAAAGGGGCUAGGAAUAUUUCUGUUGAGGUCUGAUCUUUGUUGGGUAUAGACUGAAGUAAUUUGGCAAUUCUUCUGAUCGCCUUCACUAUGGGCUGGUAGGUUACCACUAGAGCUGUGUGGUUUCGGGAGGGUUUCUUUUUGUGUUGUAGCAAGUUACUGUGGGGUAUUUGGACAGCUCUUUCAAAUGUAUGGUCUGUUUCUGUACAGUCUGGAGUGUCCUCCUUGUACAAAGGCAGAUUUUAGGCAAGUCAGGUGGGCAUCAUGAGGGGUUCUGCUCUGAGCUGAUGCAGUGUUAUCUGAGGCCCUGGCCUGGCUGUAGAUAACAGCUUUUUUGGUGUGCUUUGGACUGCUGGUCUUGUGGACAUCGUAUGAUGGUCCAUGGGUUUUCUAUACAUAGCAGUGUAUAGGGUGACAUCUUGGGUAUGAACUGUGGUAUCUAGAAAGCUGAUGUUAGUAUAGGAGUAUUCUAGAGAAAGUUUGAUCAAGGGAUCAUUAUCGUUAAGUAUGCAGUGAUGCAUCACAUCAUCUGUACCCCACUUUUCAAAAUCCUAUAUCUACCCAUGAAUCUGCAUGAUUGUUAUGACUACGUGGUGGGGUGGGGACAGAGGGGCAUACAUUAUACAAAAUAUGCAAUACGUGUUGGUAAAUAUUUUGCUGAACGCUGUUUUGGCUUAACCUGUAACAGAGUUCAUGCAGCAAGUAUCUUGCCAGUAGGAUUUCCUCUGUUAAAAAGGUAAAAUGAAAAAAUAUGUUGUCAGUGGACUCCACUGGUUGCUUAUGGCAGGUAGUCUUACAGGAGGAGGUUGUUAAUGCUUACUCUAUAAUAACCAUGGAUCUGGGAUUUCCACCAGCCACGGAAAAACGUGGUAAACCUGGGAUUUUCUCAUUUUGAGGAGAAAAACAUGAGAAACAGUGGUUUUCCCCUUGCAGGCUAGCAGGGUUACAGCCUGCAAGAGGGUGCAGGGAGUAGGAGGAGGGCAACCAGGCAGGGGGUGUCAUGUGCAUAUGUGUGCAAACGUACACGGCCACCAGGCAGCCUGGAGAGCAUCUCAUUGAAUGGAGGGGAUGGGACUGGCUCCCCACCGCUGUGUGCACUCCUAGGAGGAGCAUGGGGGGGGCAUGUGCCCCCCCCCAGAUUUGUGCGUGGGGCAGGGGCAGCCUUGCCCAUCUCUGCCAGGUGGGCAGGGGGUGCCUUACCAUGGCGGCAACGAGCUUCCCUGCCUGGCCUCACUGCCCAACUGUGCUGGAUCUCACCCACUGGGCUGCAGAGGCCCUGGACAGAGCAGCAGCAAGCAGCCCACAUCUGGCCCCAUCUGUCCCCUCUCCCCUGGGCUCUGCUCCAGCCAUGCUGCCCGUAGGGGAGGGGAAGGCUCUGCGCUCCUCUCUGCUCUGCCACAGCAGCCACCAUCUCCCACGAGUGGCAGCUGGGGCUCAGGCAUUGCUGCAAGGGCCAGGGAGCUGUGGACCUGGAUCCCCAGCCCCAUAGCUCUGGCAGCUGACACCCCCCCCAGCAGGGCUAGGGGAGCUGGGGUACUGUGGUUGAGUGAGGGGCACCAGCAGUGCUGGGGGGCUGUGGGUCGGGCACUGUGGGUUAGGAGUUGAGGGGCAAUGACAGAGGCGGGGCACUGGCAUAUUAGGGCUGCUUAGUGCCAGAAAGCAGUUGGGCGAGGGACAGCUGCAGCUGAAUCUGCGUCCCAGUGAGUAAAGGAGGCAGGGGAAGCUCUGAUUUUCCGCUCCCCACUGCCCCCCAGAUAAAAACCCAAAAUCAAACACCAAAAUGUAUAGGUAUUGAGAAUUAAUUUUAUUAUAGGAAUUGAAGCACUGAUAGGCUUAAUCAAUCAAACAUUGUGUUCAACUGAUAUAAAAUAUGUGUGUGUCUGUGUGUAUUCUACAUCAGAGAACUUGUGAUAUUUUAUCAGAGAAUUUGCAAUUUUAAAACAUUACCAGGGAUCUUGAUUUUUCUAACUUUACGUUUUGCAAACUUAAAUGACAAAAGACAUGCUUUUUAAUGAUUUGCUAGUACUUACUUCAAAUGUUUUACCAUGGUGAAAUCUCACACACCACCACAAAUUGUCUAAAACUCAUUAAGCGUUCUCAGUGUCUCUCUCGCCAUACACUCCUGCCCUUCCCAUUUCCCGCUUCCCUGUGUCCUGUGCAUUUGUUUUUGAGGGUAUUCCAUCUUUAAAACAUGUAGCUUUUCCCUGCUGCAUUUAAAAAGGCAUGUGAUUUGUUAGAAAUGCUUAACCAGUAACCAAAGGAAAUGUAUUGUAAGUGUUGAUAUAGUUCCUAGUAUGCCCAUACUGAAAAUGAGUAAUGGCAACAGUUUCAUAAUGGAAUGACCCCAGCUCAAUUUGUGGUGGCCCGCCCAUUGUAACCUUUAUUUGUUUGUGGUAUAAAUUACUGAGGACAGCAGAUUAAGUAAUAAGAUGAAUAUGAGAAAUUCUAACAAGACAUGAAUAAAGAGGUUAAUUUAGUAUGGCACCUGUAAGCUGGUUGCUAAUUGAUAGACAUGAAGGUUUCAAGCAUUUCUUAUGUAUGGGAAUGAGAAGAAAAAAAUUGUGCUUUAGACAUCACAAAGAAUUGUUGCCAGCUGAAGCAUCAGGAAGAAGAGUAGAUCCAAAUGAAUGGGACAAUUCAAAUGUCAGGUUUUUUUAUUAGUGCAAUACUUUUUAAAGCUAGUUACUUAUGAUUUUUCAGUGCAUUUUGAGUCAAAUCCCUCUUGCAUUUUGUCUUGCCUUGGUCAUGUAAAAUAUGCUACAGUUGGGAUGAUUGUACAUGAUAACCUUUUUAGGUAAUUAUAAUUUGGUAUUCUGUGCAUUUUAUACUGAUAACCUUAAAGCACUUCUACUCUGUGAUUUAUUUAAAUGUUAAUAAAUUAUACAUUUAUGGCA